ACUGCUCAGUAACACGUAGUCAACAUGCCCAGGGGACGUGGAUAACCUCGGGAAACUGAGGAUAAACCGCGAUAGGCCAUGGUUUCUGGAAUGGAUCAUGGCUGAAACCUACAUGGCCCCUGGAUUGGACUGCGGCCGAUCAGGCUGUUGGUGAGGUAAUGGCCCACCAAACCUGUAACCGGUACGGGCUCUGAGAGGAGGAGCCCGGAGAUGGGCACUGAGACAAGGGCCCAGGCCCUAUGGGGCGCAGCAGGCGCGAAACCUCUGCAAUAGGCGAAAGCUUGACAGGGUUACUCUGAGUGAUGUCCGCUAAGGGCAUCUUUUGGCACUUCUAAAAAUAGUGUAGAAUAAGGGGUGGGCAAGUCUGGUGUCAGCCGCCGCGGUAAUACCAGCACCCCGAGUGGUCGGGACGAUUAUUGGGCCUAAAGCAUCCGUAGCCGGUUCUGCAAGUCUUCCGUUAAAUCCACCUGCUCAACAGAUGGGCUGCGGAGGAUACUACAGGGCUAGGAGGCGGGAGAGGCAAGCGGUACUCAGUGGGUAGGGGUAAAAUCCUCUGAUCCACUGAAGACCACCAGUGGCGAAGGCGGCUUGCCAGAACGCGCUCGACGGUGAGGGAUGAAAGCUGGGGGAGCAAACCGGAUUAGAUACCCGGGUAGUCCCAGCUGUAAACGAUGCAGACUCGGUGAUGGGUUGGCUUCGAGCCAACCCAGUGCCGCAGGGAAGCCGUUAAGUCUGCCGCCUGGGGGAGUACGGUCGCAAGGCUGUAACUUAAAGGAAUUGGCGGGGGAGCAC
rnacentral:rRNA from 1 species